UGACCGAUAGCGCAUAGUACUGUGAAGGAAAGGUGAAAAGGACCCCGGGAGGGGAGUGAAAGAGAACCUGAAACCCUAUGUUUACAAGCUGUGGGAGCGCGCAAGCGCAACCGCGUACUUUUUGUAGAACGGUCCGGCGAGUUGCCGGUGCUGGCAAGGUUAAGCGAUCAAGUCGUGGAGCCGCAGGGAAACCAAGCCUAAAUAGGGCCAAAGUCAGCACAGGCAGACCCGAAACCGGGUGAUCUACCCAUGUCCAGGAUGAAGCGGGAGUAAAAUCCCGUGGAGGUCCGAACGCACAUCCGUUGAAAAGGGUGGCGAUGAGGUGUGGGUAGGGGAGAAAUUCCAAUCGAACCCGGAGAUAGCUGGUUCUCCUCGAAAUAGCUUUAGGGCUAGCCUCGGUGCAAUCUGCUGGAGGUAGGGCACUGAAUUCCCGCGGGGGCGUCAAAGCCUACCAAAGGAUAUCAAACUGCGAAUGCCAGACAGAUGGUCACCGGGAGUCAGACCACACGAGAUAAGUUGGGUGGUCAAAAGGGAAAGAGCCCAGACCUGCAGCUAAGGUCCCAAAGUGCGUGUUAAGUGGAAAAGGAUGUGGGAUCUCGAAGACAACUAGGAUGUUGGCUCAGAAGCAGCCAUACAUUCAAAGAGUGCGUAAUAGCUCACUAGUCGAGAGGUCCUGCGCCGAAAAUGAACCGGGGCUAAACACGACACCGAAGCUCAGGAAUCCGAAAGGAUUGGUAGAGGAGCAUUGCUGAAGCGACGAAGCAGUACCGAAAGGAGCUGUGGAGUUUCAGGAAGAGAGAAUGCCGGAAUGAGUAGCGAGAGAAAGGUGAGAAUCCUUUCGGCCGAAUAUCCAAGGUUUCCAGGGUAAAGCUGAUCUGCCCUGGGUAAGUCGGGGCCUAAGGCGAGGCAGAAAUGCGUAGUCGAUGGACAGCAGGUUGAGAUUCCUGCACCCGUAAUGAACAGAACUGUAGUGACACGGAAGGUAAGACAGAGCCGGGAAUGAGAAAACCGGUGCAAGCACAACAGAUGUGUGGGAGGAAAAACCCCCGCAUAAGUCGAAGGUGUGACGCGGACCGAAAAAGAGUAGGGAAGCUGUUAAGCAAGCCGUCAAGAAAAGCUGCUAUUGUUUCAUUAUGGCCCGUACCGUAAACCGACACAGGUGGAUGGGGAGAGAAUCCUAAGGCCGGCGGAAGAAGUAUUGUUAAGGAACUCGGCAAAAUGACCCCGUAACUUCGGGAGAAGGGGUGCCUGCGAGAGCAGGCCGCAGAGAAGAGGCCCAAGCAACUGUUUAGCAAAAACACAGGUCUAUGCAAAACCGAAAGGUGAGGUAUAUGGGCUGACGCCUGCCCGGUGCUGGAAGGUUAAGGGGAGUGGUCAGGAAACGAAGCCACGAACUUAAGCCCCAGUAAACGGCGGCCGUAACUAUAACGGUCCUAAGGUAGCGAAAUUCCUUGUCGGGUAAGUUCCG
rnacentral:rRNA from 1 species